rnacentral:rRNA from 1 species
GGGGGAGGCUUAAAUGCAGUCGAAACGGAGAUAUCAUUUUCGAAGCGAUUAGUUUACUAAGAGUGGAGAUGUUGAUAUCCUUAUGGCGGACGGGUGAGUAACGCGUGGGUAACCUGCCCCAUACUGGGGGAUAACACUUAGAAAUAGGUGCUAAUACCGCAUAAUGAGAGGAGACGCAUGUCUUCUGUCUGAAACCUCCGGUGGUGUAAGAUGGACCCGCGUCUGAUUAGCCAGUUGGCGGGGUAACGGCCCACCAAAGCGACGAUCAGUAGCCGGCUUGAGAGGGUGAACGGCCACAUUGGGACUGAGACACGGCCCAAACUCCUACGGGAGGCAGCAGUGGGGAAUAUUGGACAAUGGGGGGAACCCUGAUCCAGCGACGCCGCGUGAGUGAAGAAGUAUUUCGGUAUGUAAAGCUCUAUCAGCAGGGAAGAAAGAAAUGACGGUACCUGACUAAGAAGCCCCGGCUAACUACGUGCCAGCAGCCGCGGUAAUACGUAGGGGGCAAGCGUUAUCCGGAUUUACUGGGUGUAAAGGGAGCGUAGACGGCAGUGCAAGUCUGAAGUGAAAGGCGGGGGCCCAACCCCCGAACUGCUUUGGAAACUGUGCUGCUGGAGUGCAGGAGAGGCAAGUGGAAUUCCUAGUGUAGCGGUGAAAUGCGUAUAUAUUAGGAGGAACACCUGUGGCGAAGGCGGCUUGCUGGACUGUAACUGAAGUUGAGGCUCCAAAGCGUGAGAAGCAAACAGGAUU